GCAUAUCAUGGACCAUAAUAUCCGGCACUCUCACAAGGGAAUAAUAAUACAUUUUGUAUAUCUCACAUCCGGCCCACAUUUAACAGUUCUGGGUCACUUUGCCCUGCCAUUUCAUCUUGACACAUGAAAUCUGAUCACUUUUUCUUUUGCUUUUGCUUUUCCUAAAUCUUAUCAGCAGUGUCCCACCCUUUAGGUGGUCCUUCAUGUAUUAUGAGAUCCAUCAUAACAUUCUAUGAACACAAGCAAACAUUUAAACAAGCAUGAUCGUUUUUCAUUUAUAUUGAUGAUGAAAUUAGAGGAAUCCAUCCAAAGUGGCAGGGCGCCCCCUACAUAAGUUAGUCAGAAUCAAAUCUUAAGCUACAUCUGGACUAUAUUGAUCAUCCAAUUUGAUGAUGGUUGGACUGGACUUUGUGAAACCAUCUUCCCAGGAAUGGCAAGUGGAAAAUUGACUAUUGAAAAUUUUUCAAAAUGACUCUCUCUGUGUCUUGGCCAUUUGGUGGAACUUUUCAAUAUUGUUUUUGCUUGAAAGUAGAAUUAAAUGGUGGAUGCAAUCUAAAAUUGAUGAGCAUCUCCCAGCUUCCCACUUGUUUAUUAUUGUUUUGUUAUUCACUUUUGCAGGGCUCUGGAGGUGUCACUAUAAAGAAAACUGGCCAAGCUCUGAUUUUUGGCAUCUAUGAAGAACCCUUGACUCCAGGACAGUGUAACAUGAUUGUCGAGAGGAUGGGAGAUUACCUUGUUGAUCAGGGCCUCUAGAUCUCUUCUUGAAUGCAUGAUUUCCUUGUUUUUAUUUUUGGUUUUGGGUUUGCAUCUUCUUCUUUCUAUGGCCAUGCACUGGUGCUGGAGUUGUUGCAGGAAAAAUAACCGAGUGAGACAGAGAGUUGUUUUUUGGUGUCCUAGAGUCAGUUUCUUAUCAUCUAUCCCGCCCAUGUUGUCAUAAAUUGUGUAUUCAUCCUCCCACUGCUUUGCUCCAACUGAGUUUGCAGUUUGAAGUUUUGAAUGGUUUGGGAUUUCCUCCUCUUUAUGAUAAAUUAUAUUGUUGAUUUCUUUAAUCAAUAAUAUUCCCUGUUUAUGUGAAUAGCAUCUUAGUGUUCUAUCACUGAGGUGGAGGAUAUUCUUCCUCAGGAAAAAGCCUCAUAACUGAAGAAGCUCGAAUGUUUGGGGUGCCUACAAAUUCCUCUAAGAUUCACAGCAGAUUUUGGUGAUCUCCAUUGUCUAUUGGAUUGUAUUGGUGAACUGUUUCUGUUUUGUAAUUAAAAUGCGAGAAAACUACAGGGUUUGAUGCAUAUGCCUCGGUCUCAACCAAAAGAGCUGCAGGAAAAAUAUCCCCAGUAGUUCCAUUUUGAGAGAUCACCUCUCUAAAGUUUACCCUUCGCUUUGUGUAUUGCCUUUCAAAGAUGGUCCAAAAUCUCCUUUAGUUAAACUCCAUGAUCCUAAAUUGACAUUUAAGUUUGAAAAUUUGCCAAUCGUAUCUUUUCUUUUACAAUCUUUUUUGGCGAUGGGAAGCGAAAUUUAUAUAUAUAUAUAUAUUUCCUGUUUUUUGGCUUUUAAUUGGAUUGAAAAUGUUGGGAUUUUAAAAAAAUUUCACUAUUUUAAAUUUUAGAAUUUUUAAGGGUGCAAAAUAAGAUUAUAUUUUUCAUAUAAAAGUUUCUAUAUUAAGUUUUAUUUAAAAAAAAAAUUGUAUCCAAGCAAGUCUUAAUAAUAAUUUAUUUAGGUUUAUGAAUUUGAUAUUGCAAAAAAAAUUAAAUGAAAUAAAUAAAAAUUUAUUUUCGACCUUCCUUUGGGAAAAGGAGUGGUUCAUCUUUAAAGUUUUCCUUUUUGGUUUUUUUAAUUACAUAUAAAGGUAGAGGGAUUAUAAAUAGAAAUAAUUAGGGGUGUAACACAUUGGUCUAACCCAACCUUAACGCCCAACCCAUCCUGAACCCAAUCCCGGGUUUAGGUAAAUAUUCUCAUUAUUCCGAUUGAGUUUGUGCUAAAUUUUUUUAAUCCGAACUUGGGUUAUGUUCAAACCAAUCUUGGAAUAGUUAAUGUUUUAUAAUGUUUAUAAUAUUUAUUAUUAUGUAUAAUAAUAUUUAGUUUUUUUAUAUUUUUAAGAAAAAUAUCAAGUUAUAAUUAUAUUAUAUGUUUUUUCAUUUUCUAAAGAAAUAUAUAUAUGAGUUUAUUUUUAUUUUUAUUUUUGUUAUUUUAAAAUUUUAUCCUAUAUAUUAUUUAAAUUUUGGAAUAAACAUAUAUAAAAAAGUUUUUUAAAAGACAUUAUAAAUAGAUUUUUGAAUAAUGCAAUGUAAUCAAUCCGACCAUUAUUAGAAUAUAGUAUAAUCAAUCCAAAUUUAACUUAAUCAAUUCAAACUUAGAAAAAUGGGAUUGAAUUGGGUUUGGAUUCGGUACAUUUUGAGAUUAAUUUGAAUUAAAUUUAGGUUGAUUGUUUGUUAAUUCCUAAUAAAUAAAUGAUGUAAAAAGACCAGAGAAAUAAUAAAUAAAUAAUGUAAAAGAGUAUAAAAGGAAGGGUAGUGAAGAAAAAAAAUGGAAAAAAAUUGCUAGUUGAGCCAGGUCAUUGCGCUAACGACGCAAAUAAGGGGUUGUGUGAAGGGCAUUUUGGUCAAUUUCAUUUGAUGUUUGGAACUUGAAACCCUAGCAAAACCCUAAUCCCGUGUCCAGCGGUCUCAUAUGUGUGUAUAUAAACACAUACGCACAGAGAGUGCCACAACAAACCUACUACUCUCCUAAAGUGUUUUGGUUUCUCUCUCGCUCAUCUGGUAUUGCAAUUCUUCUGCCAGUGAGGGUUUUUGUAGAAAGUUAGGAAAUGUUAGAAGCAGGGAUUGUGUGUAUCGGCGUUGUGCUACAAUUGAUGCGCGAUGUUGCCGAAAGAGUUCCCUGCAAUAAUGAUGGAGGGGAAGGUGGGCAGUUGGGUUUCAUCUCUACCAUUGAAAUUCUCAACAAUCAUCUUCCCCACAUCUCUUCCAUUUCCCCCUUUAUUUAUUUCAUUUUCUAUUGUCAUUGCUCGAUUUUCUUUACUCCAUUCCCAAACCUACCUUCAGAGAACGACUUCGAUUUGAUCUAUUAAUCUCAAACAACAAUCAUUACAAAUUUUUUUUAAAUAAUUAAAUAUAAAAAUAUGAAUAUUAAAAAAAAAUUAUAUAUAUAUCAUUAUUUAUUUUAUAUUAUUGAAUCUUGAAUUAAAUAAAUUAUAAUUUUAAUAUUAAAUAUAUCAUAAUUUAUCUCAUUAAUCUUAUUUUAAAAUAUUUAUUAUCACUAUAUUUUUAAUUUUUUUAUAUAUUUAUAUUUCAAUUUUAUUUAAUUUUAAAUAUUUUUAUUUUAAAAUAUAAAAAAUAAUUAAAUUUUAAUAUUUUAUAAAUUAAAAUUAAUUUAACAAGAUAAAUUAUUAAUAUGAUUUUUAAUAUUUUUAAUUAUUUAAAUAAAUUAAUGUAAAUAACAAAAAAUUAUCAUCAUAAAUUUGUACUAAAAUUUUAGAUAUUAAAUCUUAAAUAAAAUAUUUUAUUUUAUAUAAAUCAUAAAAAUGAUUUAAUUUUUAUUUAAAAUAAAAUAAAACAUGUUUUGAAUUUUUAAAAUAAAUAUAUUCAUUUGUAUUCCUUUUGAAUGAACAAUGGAUAGCAGAAGAACUGCUUUGAGAAAGUCACACAAGUUAUGAAGAGUCAGCCGCAAAAUCUUCAAGUAUGGACUUCAUAUCAUAUGUUUGUUUCCCAUUGUGAAAUCUUGUUUUCAAUAUUGUUCCCAAUUUCCAAAUUAUAUCAAUAGAUUGAAAAUGAAAAUCUCUUGAAACAUUAAUUGGAUUUGGGAGGGGUGUUUGGGUUAUCACCAAGGACUUGAGAUCAUCAUGAGCCUUAGCUUUAAUGGUCUCUUGGAUGAUAAUGUACCAAAAAUGUAUAUUAGUAAUUAACAUAUAUAUGAAUUUUGAUACAUAUCAUUCAGACAAGUCACUGAGUUUGAAAGCAAUAUCGAUCCCAUUGCUACUCUGGAAACCCACCUACAUAAGCUGAGCAGUAGCCAUUAAUAUGGAUCACAACGAGAUUGCAACAGGCCAUGCCGACACUUCUGAGGAUAAGAAUUGCAAGGAGGAGGCUUCAACAAUGAAAGCAAACUGUAGGACCCCUGAUAUUACAGGCUCUUGGCUACAAUUACCAAUUCCAAAUGUUACCAAAAAAGUCUUUCAAGUCGCCUCACCUUUUUGGUGUCCUGUUAAAACAACUGUUAUUAGUCAGAGCCACUACGGCAACUCAUCAUCUCCACUUUUCAGUUCUUCACUUGUUUUUCAACUCAUCUUUUUUCUGUCAUCCCCUCAAGCAAUGGAUUGUGUGAGCCCAAUCUUGGACGUAGCCACCCGCUUGUGGGAUUGCACCGCCAAGCGUGUAGUUUAUAUUCCUGAGCUUGAAAAAAAUCUCAACUCUCUGAAGAGCUUAACGGAGGAACUGAGCAACUUAAGUAAGGAUGUGAUGGUAAGUGUUGAGCGUGAGGAGGAACUACAACAGAGUAGGCGUACGCAUGAAGUGGAUGGUUGGCUCCUCGCUGUGCAGGUCAUGGAAGCUGAAGUGGAAGAAAUAUUGCAAAAUGGGCAUCAAGAAAUCCAACAGAAAUGUCUCGGAACCUGUCCUAAGAAUUGCAGGUCAAGCUACAGGCUGGGGAAGAUUGUGAGUAGAAAGAUCGAUGCUGUGACUGAAUUAAAGGGCAAAGGGCAUUUUGAUUUUGUGGCUCAUACAUUGCCUUGUGCUCCUGUGGAUGAGAGACCGAUGGGGAAGACUGUGGGCUUAGACUUGAUGUUCGAGAAGGUUCGAAGAUGCCUGGAAGAUGAGCAAGUAAGAAGUAUUGGGUUGUAUGGAAUUGGGGGUGCUGGAAAAACGACCCUCUUGCGGAAAAUCAAUAAUGAGUAUUUUGGUAAAAGAAACGAUUUUGAUGUGGUGAUAUGGAUAGUGGUGUCAAAACCAAUCAACAUAGGAAAUAUUCAAGACGUGAUCCUGAAUAAAUUACCGACCCCAGAGCACAAAUGGAAGAAUCGUAGCAAGGAAGAGAAGGCUGCAGAAAUAUGCAAGUUGUUGAAAGCCAAAAACUUUGUGAUAUUGCUUGAUGAUAUGUGGGAGCGACUCGAUCUCUUCGAGGUGGGGAUCCCUCAUUUGGGUGACCAAACUAAGUCCAAAGUAGUACUCACUACGCGAUCUGAACGAGUAUGCGAUGAAAUGGAAGUUCAUAAGAGGAUGAGGGUAAAGUGUUUGACACCGGAUGAAGCAUUUUCUCUGUUCCGUGACAAGGUUGGUGAGAAUAUCUUGAAUUCACAUCCGGAAAUAAAAAGGCUUGCAAAGAUUGUCAUUGAAGAAUGUAAAGGACUGCCACUUGCCCUCAUCGUCAUUGGGCGAUCAAUGGCUAGCAGAAAAACUCCUCGAGAAUGGGAGCAAGCAAUUCAAGUGCUGAAGAGUUACCCAGCAGAGUUUUCAGGUAUGGGAGAUCAAGUAUUUCCAAUUUUGAAAUUCAGUUAUGAUCACUUGGACAAUGAUACCAUCAAAUCAUGUUUCCUAUAUUGUUCUACAUUCCCUGAAGACCAUGAAAUUCUGAAUGAAGGCCUCAUAGAUCUUUGGAUUGGGGAGGGGUUUCUGAACAAAUUUGAUGAUAUACACAAAGCACAUAAUCAAGGAGAUGAGAUUAUUAGAAGCUUAAAACUUGCGUGUCUCUUGGAAGGCGAUGUAUCUGAAGACACUUGUAAGAUGCAUGAUGUGAUCCGUGACAUGGCUCUAUGGUUAUCAUGUGAUUAUGGGAAAAAAAGACACAAAAUUUUUGUACUAGAUCAUGUUCAGUUGAUUGAAGCAUAUGAAAUUGUGAAAUGGAAAGAAGCUCAACGGAUUUCACUAUGGGAUUCUAAUAUCAAUAAAGGAUUCUCUCUAUCACCUUGUUUCCCCAAUCUCCAAACUUUGAUUUUGAUAAAUAGUAACAUGAAGUCACUUCCAAUUGGAUUCUUCCAAUCCAUGCCUGCCAUAAGAGUUUUGGAUUUGUCACGUAAUGAAGAAUUAGUGGAGUUACCUUUGGAGAUUUGCAGAUUAGAGAGUUUGGAAUAUCUGAAUCUAACAUGGACCAGUAUAAAAAGGAUGCCUAUAGAACUAAAGAAUUUGACAAAACUGAGGUGUUUGAUAUUGGACCGUGUAAAGUGGCUUGAAGUAAUUCCAUCAAAUGUGAUAUCUUGCCUUCCAAAUUUGCAGAUGUUUAAAAUGGUGCACCGCAUUUCCCUAGAUAUUGUGGAAUAUGAUGAAGUUGGAGUGUUGCAGGAGUUGGAAUGCUUGCAAUACCUGAGUUGGAUAAGUAUUAGCUUACUUACAGCCCCAGUUGUUAAAAAAUAUCUCACCUCCUUGAUACUGCAGAAGCGCAUACGAGAACUAAACAUGAGGACGUGCCCAGGUUUGAAGGUGGUGGAGCUGCCACUUUCGACUUUGCAAACACUCACUAUGCUUGGAUUUGAUCAUUGUAAUGAUUUGGAACGUGUUAAAAUAAAUAUGGGACUGUCUCGAGGUCAUAUCUCAAACUCAAACUUCCACAACCUUGUUCGUGUGAAUAUUUCUGGGUGUCGAUUCUUGGACCUGACCUGGCUUAUUUAUGCUUCAAGCCUUGAGUUCCUGUUGGUUCGCACUAGUCGUGACAUGGAAGAAAUUAUAGGGAGUGAUGAGUGUGGAGACUCAGAAAUUGACCAACAAAAUCUCAGCAUAUUCUCAAGACUUGUGGUGUUAUGGUUGCAUGAUCUCCCAAAUCUAAAGAGUAUCUACAGGCGGGCCUUGCCAUUUCAUUCCCUAAAAAAGAUCCAUGUGUAUCAUUGUCCAAAUCUAAGGAAAUUGCCAUUGAAUUCCAAUAGUGCCAGCAACACUCUAAAAAUAAUUGAGGGGGAAUCAAGCUGGUGGGAGAACUUGCAGUGGGAGGAUGACAACCUCAAGCGCACUUUCACUCCGUAUUUCAAAACAUGGUGAUUGAAAGGAGGAGAUGGUUGUAGAGUUCUAUGUCAUGGAGGUUUGCAGGAAUUGUUGGGUUUCCUUCAUUUCAUUUAAUUUCCUCUCUAUUUUCUGACAAACCCAUUGGUCUUCCUCUCCUAGGUACAUUUUUCGUUUUUGCUUCCAUUUGUUUUAUGUUAUGAGAAAUGUUUUAAUGCAACAAAGAAUUGUCAAAGAGGUGAGAUUCUCAUGAUUGGCAAAUGAAUGAUUGUUUUUGUAGGACAAGUUUUUGAAGAACGUUUGGUGGUGAGUGAUUGGGUGCUUGGAAUGCAUAGCAAGAGUAGCAUAAAUAAUUGUUGAAAAGAAAGAACCUUUUGUAUGUAUGUGUUAUAUCAUUUCGUAUGGUGAUCAGUUUUAUAUAUUUCUAAUGCCUCAAUGUGCUUUAGCUGUAAAAUUUGACCAUUCUUUGCUUGAGUUUCUGCAUUGAAAUAUUUCAAAUGUUGUCUUAGGAAUCAAAUGCACAAUACCAAAUAUAUACAAUAACUUCUUCAAAAAAUCAACUUUUUUUUCUUUUUUAAUAGAACUACAAGUUUAUUUGGGGUCAUUAAAUCUAAAGGUUGGAUGGAGUUUGUUAAAUUUGAUAUGUAAACUCUGCCUAAAAGAUCACUUAUUCUUAAUUAUAUUUGCACUCUCUUUUGCAUCCUCAACAAGGAGAACUCUUAUCAAUCCCUUUGUGAUAUUCAGACUCCUUUUCAAUUCAUGGAAUUUGAAUGACAACUUUAUCUUUCUUUAAAAAUACAAAUAAAAAACGUGAACUCUAUUUGAGAAAUCUUUUUUAAAACGAUUAUAGGAAAUAAUUUUAUGAAAUUGUUAUUUGGUCUUGCAAAACAAAAAUCUAUUAAAAAACUUGAAAUAUUCUUAACUUAUUUGUUUUUUAUAGUUUUAAAUAUUUUUUAAAAGUGUUUUUUUUUAUACAUAGUACUUUAUGUUUAAUCAUUUUUCAUUUAUAUAAUUAUUUUUUAAAACAACUCUAGAAAAAUAUAAAUAAAUAAAUAAAAACUGAAAACAAUUAAAAAAUGUUAUAAAAAAUCUCCAUAGUUUUUAUUUAUAUAUAUAAAAAACUAUGUUUUCUAACUAUCAAACAUAUUUUCCUUUUUUUUUUGUUCUCAAAAAUAAAACAAACUUUUAAUCUUCAAUGAUUUGAAUUUCAAGGUUCCAACGAGGGUUUGAAAUUUCGAAAACUAUCAACUAAAUAUUGUCAAUAUUUUGUUUAUCAACCUAGGCCGAUACGAUAUCACUAUCAAAAUUUCCUUGGUUUCCCGAUAUUUUCUGCCAAUCCAUGCGGUCAAAGCACUCCCACGCACUAGUCAACAUGGUCAAAGCCAAAAUUAUUUUUAACUUUAUCAAACCUGCGUUUAAAGGGUUAGUCUGAAGUAAUAAAAUGCAUAGUUGGGCUCAAAAGAUAGAGUUUUGGGUCAAAAUGGCCCAUUUAUAUAUACAUAUAUAAAAUUAGUGUGGAUCCCGCAUUUUGGCUCAUGCGUUUCCACUCAAUGGCGAGCUCGAUUUUUAUUCAAAAAAUGAUUUUAUUUAUUAGAAAAUGACUUGGAGUCGCCACUUAUUUUUGUUUUAUUUUUAAAAGGAUAAACAAAAUAAGAAAUAAAACCCUAAGUGUGACUCCUUAUUUUGGAAAAGGUGGUCUGUGCAAAAUCGGAUCGGGUUCGAGGGUUAGGUUACCUAUCGGGAAUGUACGAAAAAGACCGUAGCACCCCUCUAAGUCUCUAAAGUCGGGUCUCUACUAAUAAAAUGAAGUUAACGUGACAAUUGAUGAGGAAAUCAAUGAAUACUCAGAGCGAUCAUGCAAUUGUGAGAAUCAAAACACUCAAUAAAGAAUGACCAAGGUGAGAGUGAGUGCGUACCUGGGUAACGAGCCACCAUGCGCUAUCAAAAGAGGAGGUUAGUGCACAAUAAUAGACAUAAAACAUAACUCACAUGCCACUAAAUCGAGUACAAAAUCAUCAUAUAUCAUGAUUCAAUCAAAUUGACUUUAAGAGAAAACAUCCAAUAAUGUUGGGCCCCCACCAAAGCCCAUUUAUUUUUGCACGAAUUAAUUCCAUAAAUUCCAUCACUUGAAAUUACAAAAUUGAAUUUAUGCUUAUUUUAAAAUAUUUAAAAAAAUCAUGAAAAUUGGAUGCGGAAGAAAAUGACAGCUAAUUUUAUUGGAAAAAUAGAUUUUUGGAACCUAAAGAAAAAAUGCUAAGGAUGAAAAAUGGAAGAGUUUGAAACCCAUCUGUAUUCUAGCCGACGGCUCGAAUGGUCUGGGCUCGCCUUUGGGUCAACACCUUCUGGUCCUUGAGAUCCUCGGUUAAAGCCCCAAUGUCUGUCCAUUUGAGAUCGGUGAUCUCUUUGGACUGAAAAUCAAGGAGAGGGACAUCGCCGUAGUUGGAAGCGAGGGGGUCGGGAGUGUCGUCUAUAGAAAUCCCGGCAACAGAAGCAGAGGCGGCGAAGGCUGCUUCUUGGCAGCGGCGCUGCUUUUCAAAUGUGGCGGCCUCUUUCUUGGUGUCAACAGUGGCCAAGGCCACGGUCAUGGCAGAUUCGGUGAUGGUGCCCAUCGACGACGCCACGACAGAGCAUUGAGAGAUGGAUGUUGUGACUGAGUUUAGUACCCAGCUGGAUAGCGUUGGCAAUGAAGUCAAUAUAACCUGGAUGGAAGAUGACGUCAUUAUAAGUAUAGGAAUAGCCUUGGUUAAAGAACUUCACCGCCGGAAAACCGUUUUCGAUGGGAACUCCAUCCAUACCUCCGACAGUAUCGGAAAUUGCAGAAUUUCUUCCCAGGCAAUGGCUCUCUCAAGCUCACUUCCUCUCAUGUACUCUCAAAGCUCCUCACUAAUUUUCUUUCUCAAACUUUUAUCCUCCUCUGUAACUUUCCCGUUUUCUGCUCUUUUGUUCUCUGCCAAGAGCCUUGUCAUGUCUAAACUGAUUUGGAUAAUCCUUAAGACACUUAGUGAACUCAUCGUCAUAGAGAAAACUGCAUGUAUCGGCCACCCCAAGGAACAGCCAAGCUAAACCACCAAGCUUGAAUGAAGGGACACCCUCCAUAAACAUGUGACGGAGAUAGCCCCAAUAUAGAGCCACUCCUAUACAAGCUACCUCCAUUCUUUCUCUCUAAGCACCCUUUAUCUUUACUGUAUUCUUUUCCAGUUUCAAAUGAGCCAAUGUUCUGUGAGGGGGAUCUUGCAUCAUUAUGGUUCCAAGGCUGUAUCUCUGACAACUGUUUUUGGAAACUUAGCUGCUAAUCAAAUCCAAUGAGUAAUUUAGAGCUUCCCUCAACUUUGAGAUGCUAUCCUUGCCUGGAAUUACCAUUUCGAAUACCUUCUGCAGUUUGAGAGUGAUGAAGAGAGCCAUUCCCAUUCAUAUCUUGCAGACCGUUACAAAAUGAUUGAUAACCUUUGAGAUACAAAACGUUGAUUUCAGAUGCAAUUUCCUCUAACUUCGAAUAAAACCCCUUUCGUUUCUCUACACAUUCAGUGCAUCUAAAUGUGGGGACUGUUCCAACUAUUGUUAGAGAUAAAUUGUUCAUACAGAUGCUGCAGCGGAGGAUGCAACAAACCAAUCAUCCUCUUCGUCCAGAUGCUUUCUAUUUUCAUGUUGCAAAAGCUUCCUCACUGUAGAUGGGAUGGGCCCAUGGUAAACAAUCUUAGGAUCUUUUUCAUCUUCCUCCCUUUCUUCCUCUCUCCACGGUUCAAUGUUAAUUUGGCUAUCAUCUUCUGCGGUCCUGGCUUUAGAAACCCAUCUCCUCUGAGAAGCAACAAGCUGGAUGGUAGAAAUAACAUCCGGUUUGGCACUUGAGGUAUGUGGCCUUGUUGAUACAUUUUCACCUGAUAUUGCCCUUGCAGACGACCCUUCUAACACACGCCAUUUUUGCCAAGGCCAGCGUGGCAGAUUCGUCAAUUCUAUAUACACUGUGCCCAAAAAUCGAGGUUGUCCCUGUGGCUGCCAGCAUACACGUCUCAUGCCAUGUACAACUCUAUACUUAAAGAAUGAAUAAAACCUCCUGAUUUUAGCUAGUGGUCGUGAGCAGCAAUGACACUUUCCGACAUGCUCACUCAUGACAGUAUUGUUAGGACGUCAUUGUCUCUGUGUCAGUCAGGGGCAUCACAGAGUAGCCUGUUAGGAAGUGUCCCAAAUUCCUAAUUAGUAUAGAUUCUUUUUGUGUAAAGAAUAUUAUAUAGAAUAUUUAUAGAUUGAUAUAUUAUUGUAAUAUUAGACUUCCUUAUAGAAUAAGGAAGGUUGUUGGAAAUAUCUCUAUAAAUAUUCUAGGUCAUGAGGGGAAAAAGUUAUGAGAUGGAGAUGGGCCUAUAGAGACUAUACGAGGUGGAUAGAGAUGUGAGGAAGAACGGGAGGUACCUGGUGGAGCGAGAGGACUCGUAGUAAGGUAUGGAUACAAGGAGUGGGGAAACAUGGGAUGUUUCGGGAACCCAAUAGUUGUAUAUGGUUUUAUCCUCUGUAAUAUUCUCUAUUGUAUAGUGUAAUUAUUCUCUCUCAUCCGUGGACGUAGGCAUGGUUAGCCGAACCACGUUAAAACCUCGUAUGUGUGAUUGUGUUUAUCUUUGUGUUCUUGAACUAACAUUGUUGGCAUCAAAGCUUUCGCUGGCACUACAUGGCCUCCCCAGGAUUCGAACUCAAGACCUUAAGGUCUUUUUGGUUGUCCUCCUGGUACCAUCUGGGCUACUAGCCCAGAUGGUACCAAGAGGACAACGUCCUAAACCUUAAGGCCUGGACCCAAGUUCGAAUCUUGGGGAGGCCACUCUGUGAUGCCCAUGACUGGCACAGAGCCAAAUAUACUCAAAACAAAUGACAUCCCAACAAGUAUGUAACCCAUUCACUCUAAAUCACCAUUUUAGUUGCAUCCUCAACCUAUGCUCCUUCUGCACCAAUGUGAGCACGAGAUGUGGAAAGAAUGCCCGUGUGACAGCCAACAUUCACUACAACUUAGCCAAUAAUUGAAUUCUGGUGUGGAGUGAUUACUGCCCUAUGUGGUUCACUCCGCGCAUGAUACUUGAUCAAUCUAUCUUUGACAAUUGACUUGUAUGCUAAACCCCUUUCCAGAUAGCUUAUCUCUCCCAGAGAACAGCCAACCGCUCAAGGUAUUCCUCAAUGCACUGUUUGAGGCAAGGACUUUGUAAACACAGUUUACACUCUGUAAAUGAGAGCUCUCAGGUGGUGAUAUGUGAACCAAGACACUCCACAACUAGUUACAUGGGAGCAGAUAGGUGUGAAGGAUGAACUUGCUUAAAAACAGAGCAAAAAUGAUAAGAUCCAAGGAAUAUUCAAGCAAAGCCACGUUUCAUGAAUGAUGAAUGAGCUCAAAACUGGUGGGACAAACGGGAAGUCUUUAAUACAAUUUUUAAACAUCAAACCCAAACCCAAAAGAAGAAUCCCGCCAUUACAGAGGAAAAUAUCAAGAGUAUAAGGGAAAAACAGAAUAGAGCAAGUAUAGGCAGAUAAUCGUAUUCAACCAAAACAACCCUGUGGCCCUUAAUGUCCACAGCAAACCAUAAAACGAUAUUGAUAGAUUAGCAAAGAAUGAAGUUGGACAUUAAGAAACAAAAACGUAUCGAGCUCGAGGUGAUCUUACCUGAUGAUCCACAACACGACCUUCAUUUGCUUCUCCUUCUUCCUCCUUUGAUCAACCCAGAAAAAUAUCCUCUCCUUUCCCUCGUUUCCCCUCCGAACUCAAACUUGUCCCUCAAGCUGAAGGACCCCUCAAUCUCUCACCUCACUAAAAAAUGGCUACCUUCUCCUUCCUCCCUCUCUGGCUUGCUCUCCAAGCUAAAGAUCUCUCCUUUCUUUGUUUUUCUCUUUCAAAAAAAUGUCUCUGUAGAGCCACCACCCAAACCCUCACUCUGGCAGCUUGCUCCUCAAGCCAAAACAGCCUCCAAAAAUAUCUCUCUCUCAGUACCAAACCCUAUACACUCCUUUUCUGAAAAAAAAUCAGCAACAAAAUCACCACCCUCCUCUCACAGCUUGCUCUCCAAGUUAAAAACCUCCUCUCACAACUUGCUCUUCCUCCCAACGGCAGCAAAAGCACCACCUUCCUCUUAACAGCCUGCAGCUUUUCAUAACCAACACGCUCUUCCUGGAAUCUUCUUUUACAAGUGUCACUUUUUUAUUGCCUCUCCUAAGCACUAAUGUGAUUCCAUAAGGAUAAAUUGGGAAUUGACACGUGGCCCUCCAGGAUUGUGACAUCUGGUAAAAUAACCUGCAAAAAGGAUGAGCCCCAAAUGGGGGUCUACAAUUAGAUAUAUGAAACUUAUAUUCAAAUUAACCUUUUUUUUGUGUCACGUACGAGCAAAUUUUAGUUAAAGCCUCGACUAAAGUCGUAGAGGCUUUAGUUUUUGAACUAAAGUCAUAGAGGAUUUAGUUUUUGAACUAAAGUCGUGGUUGCCUCAAUCAGUUUUUGAACUAGAACUGUAAUUGUCAAUCAAGACUUCAUUUUUUAACUAAAGCUUCAAUUGUCAAUUGAGGCUUCAAUUAAUUUUUUUCUUUUACUUUAAAAUUUAAUUAAAAACUAUAAAAUUAUAAUUUAUUAUUGAAAUUAAAAAUAUAUAUUUUAAUAAUAAAUUAUUUAUAAUUAAGGUUAACAAUUUAGUAUUACUUCAACAAAUUGAUGAAUAAAAGAUAUAAAAUUAUAUAAUUUAUAUAACAUUUAUAUAACAUAUAAAUAAGAUAUAAAAUUAUAUAAUUUAUUAAUUUAAGAUAUUUAAUUUGUUGUUUUUUAAGAUAUUAAUUUAUUUGUAUUAUGACAAAUUUAUCUUUAUCAAAAUAAUAGUAUAGUCCUAACCUGCAGUUGUCAACUAAUAUGUACUUUGUUUUACUUUUAAAUUUAAUUAAAAACUAUUAAAUUACAACUUAUUAUUAUUGAAAUUAAAAAUAUAUACUAGUAUUACUUCAAUAAACAUAAAUUGAUAAAUAUAAUACAAUAAAUGAAUAUUUUAUUUAUCAAUAAAUUAAUAAUCUUAAAAUAAUAAAAUUAUAUAACAUACAAAUAAGAUAUAAAAUUUUAUAAUUUAUUAAUUUAAGAUAUUUAAUUUUUUAUUUUUUAAAAUAUUAAUUUAUUUGUAUUAUGACAUAUUUAUCUUUAUCGAAAUAAUAGUAUACUAUUAAGUAAUUAAUUAGAAAAAGUCUACAACCAAAAUAUAAUUUUUAGUUUUUUCAUCAAAGUCACAAAAAAAUACUCACUAAACAUUUAUAUAUUGGGGGAAAAAAUGUAUAUAAUCUCAUAUACCUCCACAAGGAGAGAAUCUAUGGAUAAAUUUCACAUAAUACAAAUAAAUUAAUAUAUUAAAAAACAACAAAUUAAAUAUCUUAAAUUAAUAAAUUAUACAAUGUUAUAUUUUAUUUAUAUGUUAUAUAAAUUUAUUAUUUUAAAAUUAUUAAUUUAUUAAUAAAUAAAAUAUUCAUUUAUAAUAUCUUCUAUUUAUCAAUGUAAUACUAGAUUCUAAAGCUUGAAUAUAAAUAAUUUAUUAUUAAAACAUAUAUUUUUAAUUUCAAUAAUAAAUUAUAAUUUAAUAGUCUUUAAUUAAAUUUUAAAGUAAAAUAAAUAAAUAAAUAAUUGAAACCUCAAUUAGCAAUUAAAGCUUUACUUCAAAAAUAAAGUCUCGGUUGUCAAUUGAGGUUUCAGUUAAAAAAUAAAGCAUCAAUUGAUAACUGCGGCUUCGAUUAAAAAACUAAAGCCUUAGUUGGCAAUUGUAAUUUCAAUUAAAAAAAAUGAAGCUCAAAUUGCCAAUUAAAAAUUUAACUAAAAUUUUGAAAAAAAAAAUUAUAUUUCUAUGACAUAGCUCUUACAUGGCACCAAAGAAGUCAAUUUGAACAUAAGUUUCAUAAAAUGAUUAGACCUUUUUUUUUUUUUAAUUUUAUGUAUGGGCCAUUUUGACCCAAAACUCCAAAAGGUAGAAGUUUAUUAUGCAAUUCGAUGAUGGAUAUGAUAAGUCUAAAACUUGGUGAUUAAUAUAUUAAGAUUUCAAGAAAAUUUUAAAAAAUAAUAAAUAAAAUAUUUCUCAAAGUCCAUAUGAUAUUCAUAUAAUUUUUAUUUUGUUUUUAUUUUCUUUUUCAAGUUGUCACUAUUAUCUUAAUUUAUUUUUCAUUAAUUGUUCAAUAAUAAUAAUAAUAAUAAUAAUAAUAAUAAUUAUUAUUAUUAUUAUUAUUAUAUUUAUGUGGACCCCGCAUUUCGAUCGCUCGAAUGCGUUUCCCACUCGAUGGCGAAACUCGAUUUUUAUUUUGAAAAAUUGAUUUUUAUUGAUUAUUUGAAAAUGACUUGGAGUCGCCACUUAUUUUUGUUUUAUUUUUAAAAGGGUAAACAAAAUAAGAAAGAAAAACCCUAAGUGUGACUCCUUAUUUGGAAAAGGUGAUCUACGAAAAACCGGAUCGGGUUCGGGGGUCAGGUUACUUAUCGGGAAGGUACGAUAAAGACCGUAGCACCCCUCUAAGUCCCUAAAGUCGGGUCUCUACUAAUAAAAUGAAGCUGACAUGGCAACCAAUGAGAAAAUCAAUGAAUACUCAAAUCGAUCAUGCACGUAUGAGAAUUAAAAUAAGCGUAGAGAGUGACCAUGAUGUGAGAAGCUACGUACCUGGGUGGCAAAUCGAUAUGCGCUAUCAAAAGGGGGUUAGUGAACCAAUAUAGUAUGAAUAUACGCGCAUCACAAAGCAGAACAAAUCAAUCUUGCAUGACAAUCAGAUCAAUCAAUCAAUCAUGAAUCACAUAUGUAGGGCCCCCACCAAAGCCCGUUUAUUUUUGCAUGAAUUAAUUCCAUAAACUCCAUUAUUCGGAAUUACGGAAUUUAAUUCUUGCCUAUUUUUAAAAUAUUUUAAAAGAUCAUGAAGGAUUUGAAAAUUGCUUGCCGAAUAGAAAGUGGAAGCAAAUUUUAUUAAAAAGAGAUUUUGAGUGAUCCUAAAAAUUCUAAAGAUGAAAAACUAAAGAGUAGAAUUCUUUUGAAAUAAAAUAAAAUAAAUAAAUAAAUAAAAGUAAAGAAAAAGAAAUGAGAAUUAGAGAAGGAUAUUUACAAAAAGGGGAUUUGAGAAAUCAUUUUCAAAAUCAAAGGUGAUGGAACAGUAGGUGGCAUGUGGCCCAGAGGUGACCAUGCAUGCCAUGCAAGAGUGGGUCCCACGGUCUUAUUUUACCUUACUCACCUUUUGACGCAUCCAGUCCACAUCGGGGAUGCCAAGACCACGAACAGCAACAUCAAUACAUAACAAGAUGCCUUUCUCGACUUUACAGAAAUCAAAGAAAGUGGAGGUCCGCUUCUGCUGCUUUUGCUUCCCAUGAAUAUCUUAAAGUGACAUGGCCACCAUGCAAGGCCUCCACCAAUGAGGUUUGAUUGGGUGUUCCCUCAAGACCUCCCAUGCAGCCGACUGUGGAGAUCACAUCCAUCUUUGGUUUAAAUUCUCCCUCAACAAGGGGACAGAGAGUACCAUCAGCAUUGUGCCAUUGUGCUAGAAUCCCACGUUCAUUCUUAGGCUUUACACGCCAACAACCAUCAGGCUUCACUUGUAUCUCAGUUACAUCUUCCCCACAAGACUGCAUCGAGGAUGUCAUGCGAUUGAAAAUACGGACCAAUGAUAACAUUCUCUAGAGAAUAUUUCUCGAUACAAAUGGGAUAUUGCCACUUCCUAGAACAUUGGUUCAUUUCCACAAAAAUUUCAAGAUCAGAACGGCCCAUGUGAGCACAAGGUUUGAAUCUUCCAGCAACCUUCAUUCUUGAACCACUCAUAGGACAUCGUAGAUUGACAGUAAAGAAAUCUGCAACUACUUCCAGGUCACUGUCACUAUCAGCAUUAUCAAUUACACCUGGCAUUGUGACACGGCGGGUCCAAGUGCACCACAUUCCGGGCGGUGUUUCUGGAAGCUUGUCGAAGCAGAGGGACGUUGUCGGCAAAGGAGAUCUUGACCCGGCACAGCAGCGGAGCACUGGAAGUGGGAUCCAGGAAAAAGAUCGCGGCCAUCAGACGGUGGAGAGGGAAAGUGGAAGAGCUUCAAUGGUUGCUUGACGUUCUGGUGAUGGCGGAGGCAUUUCGCCGCCGGCGGCAAGCCGCCGGCGUCGUUCAAAGACGGCUUUGCUUGCUCUUUCUAGGAGACAAAUUAAGUGUGUCUCUUAAACUGUUGGUGGCUGCACCGGCAUCAAACUCUUAUGAAUGCAUUGGCUUGCUAAAUCUGAUUGUUUGUAACCUUCACCUUAAGGUCAUCCACCAAGAGGGCAAACCUCUUGGACUGAGUGCCAAGGCCUUUCUCUGAAAGAUCAAGCUCCAGGCCAAGCGCAUGCAUGUAUGUUGCUGAGCCAUCAGCCCGGAACUUCACAUCCUUGUCAUCAGGGUAAGCUCUUUGCCCAUGCCUUCAUCACCAAGGGGUCAUUAACGCUAACGAGCAGAAUUUCAUCAAUGUCUUUUUAUUUCAUCUCUCCUUCCUUCUCAAUGAAGCCUGGCACGUGCUUCAAGCUGCAAGUGGGAGUGAAAGCACCGGGAACACCGAAAAUGAUGACCUUCCUGUCGGUAGCCAGGGGGUACACUGAAGCCUACUGGAGCUGAUCUUGCUCAUCGAAAUAAGUCAGAAUCCCUUCCGGAAUAACGUCGCCAACUGCAAUCAGAGCCAUGGUCACCACCGGAGAUUUUGAUAUCACAAGCUCACUGAUGAAGAUUGUAGCGUGAUCCAACGGUUUCUGUAAAGUCUUCACCAAUUAUGAUUCCAAUACCAUUAACAACAACAUGAUCAUUAGCCAAAGAUUGAACCAAAGUUAAUUCUCGGAUAUCUAAAUGAACGAGGCGCCCAGUGAAAACUGCAAUCUUAAUUUAAACCCUUAUGGCAGCAAGAGAAAAUUUGUCUGCAUCUCGUCCCAUAUCCGACUUUCUUCAAUUCCUCCAGUCUCCUUGAAUAGCCCACAGUUAACAAAAUCUCUAAUAGACCACAUUAGAAGGGAGAAGACAACGACAUGCCAUGAACAUGACAUCUCUAACAUCCCGAUGCAUUCUUAGGUAGAGGAUUCCAAGGACGAUUGGAGACAUCUCUCCAGAAUAAUGAGAACCAAAUCUGUGGCCAAGAAAAGUAUCAACACCACCACUGCCUCAGGGUCCAUAAAGAAGCCAUGAUUGGCAUGCAUGACCAAGAGUAACUAAAGAAGCCAGGGAUAAAAGAAAGUGUAGCUGGAAUCUGGGUGCCACCAUUCCAACUGUCAAACAGACAAGUGUUUCGUAAUGCUGCCAUCUAGGAAGAAAACUCUUUGGACACCUCUUUUACAAACAAAUGAGGCAGUAGCUAAUCCUGAAAGCUGACCAUUUAAUCAACUGAGUCUUUGACCUCCCAUAGCAAAACCCUACUCACCAAACCAUAGUCCAUUCUCACUAUAAUAACCACCUUCAAAACUAACACUGAUAGGACUUGGAGUUGUUGAAACAUAGAAAUGCUCUUCUGGCCAACUUAACAUAGCUUCACGAGAGACCUUCCCAGACCAUUUCCCAAGGAUUUCUCGCGGAGCUUAUACAGAAGUCUGACCCGCCUGCUCUUUGAUAACAGCUUCAGCCUGAGGACAUGUAUCCUUAUUGGAGCUCAUAACCAGAUCCGAGUCUUUUCCUCACAUCCCAUGCAUUUAGAUAAGAGCCACAAGAAGGAAGAAACCAUGGAAACAGAGCAUAAAAGAAAACAAAAUAAAGAUGUCAUCAAAUGAGGCUCCACUUCAUGAGUUAUCAGUGAACCUUCUUCUUAGGUGAGAAAAAUAGCACUAAAUGCAAAUAUUGGAAGGAUUCUUGGGUAUUUCAUAACAGAGACAUGGCACACCAAGAUUAACAAAAACAAGCAUGAAUUCAGGAUGAUAUCUCAACAAGUAAUAAGUGGCCUUCAUUAUCCACCCCAAGCAAACCAACAAUCACUCAAACAUCAAUAAGAAACGUAGAGGAGUAAUAAGAAUCCAAAUCAAACAAUAAGUCAGUUGCAUUCAUACCUGAGAGAACCUUUUCCAGUAAGGCUCUGUUCAGCUGUAAACGCCUUAAGUCCUCCUCCAAUGCCGACUAAACCGGCAAGCUUGCCACUCUGCUCUCUCACCAGCAGCCUCCAAAAGGCGAAACACCUCUGCCCGAAUCCCUCCAAAGUCCUCUUCUCCAGACUAUGGCUCCUUGCCUCUGCCAGAGAACAGCAGCCAAAAACACCCCUCCUCUCUAGCUUGCUGCUCCUAGUUCUCCUUAAACCCUACUCUCUCUCUGAAGCUCUCCAAAAAAUCUCCAAACAAAAGCUCCCCUUGGUUUUCUAGCUACCACCCACCUCGGCAGCCUCAAACCUCUCUGUUCCCUCUCUAAACAACCAAACAAAAGCUCCCCUCUCUCUGUGGUUCCUCUCAGCUCUGGUUAUCCUCCUCUAACUCCCUCUCUCAUGGAAAAACUCCCUGGAACCCCUUCAAAAUAUCUUCUCUCAAAAACCCGAAAGGAAGCUCCCCCCCCCCCCCCUUCUCAUCAAUGGAAAAUCCCCUGAAGCUCUAACAAUCCUCUCCCUCUCAAGCUAAACGAAUACUCCUCAGCAAAACUAUCCAAGUUUUUCUCCUCAAGAAAACAUCCCUCUAAAAAUGACCAGAAAAAAUCACCUUCUCUCCAGUUCUCACCCUCACCCCGAAAGAUGAAUCCCCUCCUCUGUAACAGCUUUUUCUCUCCAGAAAAUCUCUCUCCACUCCGCCCCAAAACGCUCCCCCCCCCCCCCCUUCUCAUCAAUGGAAAAGCACCCUCCGAAAAGCACUCCCCCUCCAGCACCCACCUGCAGCUGCCUUCUGCCCCUCAACAACCUGCAGCUUUUGCAGAUUCCUCCUUGCCAGGUGUCAAUCUCUGAUUGGCUUUCAAAAACACUGUUCUGAUUCCAUGAUAGCCAAUCAGGGAUUGACACGUGGCCUCUUAGAAAUGCUCCAUCUGGCCAAAUAAGCUGCAACAAAUUCAAAAAGAAAGUGCUCCCAAAAUGGGGGUCUACAAUAUAAAAUAUAAAAAAUAAAAUAAUAAUAAUAAUUGGUAUUCAUGCAUAUGUAAACAAUGUUUUUAAUUAUUUAAUAUCAAAAGUAAACUGAAAAAAAAAAAAUUAUCACAUUCAUAUGCCUUUUAAAUACAAUUAUCCUAUUAUUAUUUAUAUUAUGUUUCGAUUAAUUUAUUUAGUAGAAUUUGACCCACCAACACAAAUUGUCAUCCAUGUACCUAAGAUAUCAUAUUUCACUAGGAUAUGUUAAGCGUAUGGAUAUAUUAAGAUAUUAUUUUGAUUGGGAUAUAAUAUCUUUAAAUAUUAAUACCGAUAUGAUUUACUAAGUUAUUAAUAAAAUAAAUAAAUAAUAUUAUUUUUUAAUGUUUGAUAUUUGCUUAAAAUAAAAAUUAUAUUACUUUCUAAUAUUAAUUAUUAAAAAAAUAUGAAAUCUUUUUCAUGUCUAAUAUUAUUUGAAAAUUGUUUAAAAUUUUAAAACUUCAUCAAUUAAUUAAUUAAUUAAUUAAUUAAUUAUUAUUAAUAUUCAUUAUUAAAAUAUUUAAACUCUAUAAAAAAAUUAUAUUAUAUUAUUUAAUAUAUAGAAAUAACUUUUAUAUAUUAAACAAAAGAAUGACUAUUAGUUCUAAUAAUAAAUAUAUCGAUAACCUGAUUUUACGGAUAAAAUCUCAACAUGAUGUUACAUGGCCUAAAUGAUUUUGUGAUUUCAGGGAUUUGUGAAACAAUAAAACAUGGGAAUGGGUGGUGAGUUGGUGGGUCCUGUAAGUUAAUUUAGGGUAGGGACCAAGAAUGUGACGUUUAUGGUGAGGGUAGUAGAAUCUUAUUUCUUCUGCCUUCGCAGAAACUUACAGGCAACAAACUCCAAAAGAAGGAGAAAGUAGAUGUGACACAAGAUUCAAAGUGCUGUUUGGGAAAAAGCGAGAAGUGAAUUUUUGCUGAGUUCAUACUCAUAUGGCCAUGCACAAGUAGAUUCUAGAUUCCCAAGUAUUUUUAGUGGGAAUACUUUUUCAAAAACAUUACAAGUAAUUUUUUAACCCUAUAAAUAAUUUUUCAAAAUUUUAUCAAAAGUAUAAAAUCUGUUUGAUUAGAUGAUUUAAAAAAUGUAUCCAAUCAAGUCUUAAUAAUAAUUUAUUAAGGUUUAUGAAUUUGAUAUUGCAAAAAAAUUUAAAUAAAAUAAAUAAAAAUUUGUUUUGCACCUUCCUUUGGGAAAAGGAGUUGUUCAUCUUUAAAGUUUUCCUUUUUGGUUUUUUUAAUUGCAUAUAAGGGUAGAGGGAUUAUAAAUAGAAAUAAUUAGGGGUGUAACACAUUGGUCCGACCCAACCUUAAAUCCCAAUCCCAUGUUUGAAUGGGUUUGGGCAAAUAUUCUCCUAUUAUUCUGAUUAAGUUUGUGUUAAAAAUUUUCAAUCUAAACUUAAUUUGGGUUAGGUUUAAACCAAGCUUGGAAUAGUUAAUGUUUUAUAAUGUUUAUAAUAUUUAUUAUUAUGUAUAAUAAUAUUUUUUUAUUUUUUAUUUUUAAGAAAAAUAUCAAUUUAUAAUUAUAUAAUAUACUUUUUCAUUUUAUAUAAAAUAUAUAUAUAUAUAUAUAUAUGAGUUUAUUUUUACUUUUUUCACAUUAUCUUGAAAUUUUAUCUUAUUUAUUAUUUAAAUUUUGAAAUAAAUAUAUAAAAAAAAAUUAAAAGACAUUAUGAAUGAAUUUUGAAUAAUGCAAUCCGAUCAAUAAUCAAAUUUAGUCCAAUCAAUCCGAUUUUAACUUAAUCAAUUCAAAUUUAGAAAACUGAUAUUGAAUUAGAUUUGGAUUAGGCAUAUUUAGAUAUUAAUUUGGAUUAAGUUUAGGUUGUUUGUUUGUUAAUUCAUAAUAAAUAAAUUAUGUAAAAAAUUGUCAUCAUAAAUUUGUAUUAAAAUUUUAGAAAUUAAAUCUUAAAUAAAAUAUUUUAACAGUUAUAAUAAAAUUGGAAAUUUAAAAAAAUAUAUAUAUAUAUUUAUUUAUGCUUUUCUUUUUUAACUAUUGCUACAAAACAGGUACAUGUACCAUUUGGGGGUCCUUCAUGUAUUAUGGCUUAUGAGAUCCAUCAUAACAUUCUAUGAACACAAGCAAACAUUUAAACAAGCAUGAUUGUUUUUCAUUUAUAUUGAUGAUGAAAUUAGAGGAACCCAU
rnacentral:lncRNA from 1 species